UUCUGCAAAUGGAAUAGAGGAAUAUCAACCAUGAAUAUUUAAUCGUUGAUAAGUAGAUUUCCUAGCUAGAUAAAGUGGAUCUUAACAGGCUCCUCCUGCCUAUAAAAGGAAGAUCUUGGAACAAGUAAGAAGAAACCCGAAAGGAGAAAAGAGUAGAAAAAGAGAGAGAGAGAGGUUGUGUGUACAUGAAAGAAAAGAUAAAAAAGAAAAAUAAAAGAGAAAAAAAGGAAGAAAGAUUUAACACACACACACACACAUAUAUACACAUAUAUGUGUGUGAAAUUUGUGGCUGUCUCCUAGAAAGGAAGAACAAGGGUCCACUAUUUUUUUAAUAUCUUCU
rnacentral:lncRNA from 1 species